UGCCUACGGGAGGCAGCAGUGGGGAAUAUUGCACAAUGGGGGAAACCCUGAUGCAGCGACGCCGCGUGAGUGAAGAAGUAUUUCGGUAUGUAAAGCUCUAUCAGCAGGGAAGAAAAAAGACGGUACCUGACUAAGAAGCCCCGGCUAACUACGUGCCAGCAGCCGCGGUAAUACGUAGGGGGCAAGCGUUAUCCGGAUUUACUGGGUGUAAAGGGAGCGUAGACGGUAUGGCAAGUCUGAAGUGAAAGCCCAGGGCUUAACCCUGGGACUGCUUUGGAAACUGUUAGAC
rnacentral:rRNA from 1 species